AAGAGACAGCAGCCGCCGCGGGAAUACGAAGGGUGCAAGCGUUAAUCGGAAUUACUGGGCGUAAAGCGCGCGUAGGUGGUUCAUUAAGUUGGAUGUGAAAGCCCUGGGCUCAACCUGGGAACUGCAUCCAAAACUGGUGAGCUAGAGUACGGUAGAGGGUAGUGGAAUUUCCUGUGUAGCGGUGAAAUGCGUAGAUAUAGGAAGGAACACCAGUGGCGAAGGCGACUACCUGGACUGAUACUGACACUGAGGUGCGAAAGCGUGGGGAGCAAACAGGAUUAGAUACCCGAGUAGUCCCUGUCUCUUAUAC
rnacentral:rRNA from 1 species